GUUGCUGCAGUCUGUGUGCCCUGAGCCAAGGUUCUACAGUGUCUCUUUCCAGGUCCCCAAGCUCGGAUUCCCUGUCUGUCCCAGGGACAAUGCGGCAUUAACACAACGGGGGAUCAGUCUCUGCGCAAAAAGUUCCAAUAUGAGGGAGAAGAGGCUCACAACUGAGCCUCCAGAUAUAACAGAAGAUGCAUUUGAAGAUUAUUUAGCGACGGAUGAUAUGCUUGUGAACUACUUUAAUGAAUUCUUGAGUCUUCCAACCUUUGCAGAGCCAGUUAAGUUUAACCCUGAUUUUGACGUUUUUGAAGUAGUUAAUGAUACCCCACAAUGUCUGGAAAACCAGCUGAAAAAAAUUCUUCAUGAUCAGAAACCUCCCAGUCCCAUUUAUGAUGUUACAAGGAAGGCAAAAAACGAUGGGCAGCUUUCCAAAAAGAGCAGCAUUUUUCCAGUCUUCAGUGUUGACCCAAAUUACAGUAUUAUGUGUCUUGAGCGAGAACAGGGAAUUCAGUGGAUUAAGCAAGAAAGACUCCCAGCCUUUCUAAAAAGUGAUUGUUACUUUGAAUACAGGUUAGCUAAACUGCUUUCGCAGGUAGAAUGGAGCAGAACUGGUAUUAACUUCAUUAUAGAUACAACAUAUUAUCCCUGGAUUAUGAAAAGAGAGCUGAUACCUCCUUUUCCUGAGGAGGGUGAAGAGGAAUUAAUUAUGAGAAAGUUCUGUGUUUCACUUGGCCAGGCUACAGUUACUCAGACAAAGGAUUGGUUUACACUAGCCAAAAAAAGUCAGCAAACAACAACUACAGAUACAAUUACUCAUCCUUUAGUUUCCACUCAAAUUCAAGGCACACAGUAUUGGUCUACAGGCCCUCAGAGAACUGUUGCAUACAACCACAAUGUCAGUCCAGAUUCCAUUCCUUUUCAAGGCACAUGUAGUUUUUCUGCUCAGUCUUACACAGCAGAUUUAUACAGCAAUAGCAGCAGUAAUCUAGGAGUGAAUUCCCUGGCUAUGGAAUACAGUCAAAGGAGUCUCCCCCUCCUACAGAGGACAGGAACUUCAAAAAUUAGCAAUGUUAGUGGGAGAUCCAAAAGUACAGAGCUUUACACUUCUGUAUCCAUUGCUGACACUCCUUCCCAUACUAUGUUGAGAGUAUACCUAGACCAGAAAUGGGAGAAUGGUGCUGAGGAGAAAGAAAACCUGGAAUUCGAUGGUAGACUGGAAAUGCCAGCUUUUCAAACAUUAGAAGAGUUUACAUCAGCUUAUAUUCAGUAUAUAGUGAGUGAAUCAAUCUCAAAACUGACGGGACAACCGGCUGCUAAGAGCAAGACUGAUAUGAACUUCAGUAAACUGUCCAAUGUAUUUAUACAUGAGUUAUCAAAUAAUCAACUUUCUGCUACUGCUGCAGAGCCACUUACUUCCCAAAGUGUCUCUCCAUCCAACAAGUUAGACUCCAAAGGUCAUUGCAUAAAACAGGAGACUGAAGAAGUGAGUUCAAGUUCAAGGUCUGAAAGUGAUGUCACGGACAGUCGGGCUGCCUGGUGUACCAGUCACAGAGCUUAUGAUAUUGGCAACAGAAAUGAGUUUGAAAGAUUCAAGAAGUUCAUAAAAGGAACUUUGGGUGAAAGGUACUGGUGGCUCUGGAUGGACAUUGAAAGAUUAAAGGUCCUUAAGGACACUAGAAGGCAGCAAAGACAGCUUGAUAAAAUGAAAAAACUCUAUCUAGUGAGCAGUGGAGAUUAUUUUCUCAACUCAGAAGUCUUAUUCAAACUGGACCUGCUACUUGGAGACCAGUGGAAUACAAGACACUUAAAAUGGAUUCAACCUGAAGUAGUGAAACCUUUACUUCUUUACUGGGGUCCCAGAUUUUGUGUCACUCAUACAGCUGCAAUACAAACUGCCAGUGCAAAGUUGAAGCAGUGGCACACCUCUCACGAGAGACCAAGGACAGAUAUUGAUCCUUACCCACAAAUGGUGACAUUGUUGCCACUGCGAGCUAAAUCUUGUAUUCCAAGGUUAGCACCUUCCCAUCCUCAGAGAAAUGAAACCAGCUUACCCACAACCUUAUUAAAAACAAAUGUGAUGAAUUUAUCUUCUAAGAGAGCUACCAGAUUAUUGUCAGCUACCCUGCCACCAAGUGCAACCAUCAUAAGGGAUGAUUUCUACAGUGUAACCAGUAAAUCUGAUGUUAGUAGAAACAGGCCAAAAUCAGUGGGAAGCAACAUGACUCGUCUCUCAGCUGUUACUGAUGAUACAAAAUGCUUGAAGUCCCAGACAGAUAGAAAAUACACCUAUGCUGAGUUGCUCCCAGGUAAAAGUCCUACAGAGAGUAUUGUCCUAGGAGGUUCUAAAAUGGAAUGCAUGCUGCAGUCUCUUUAUGUGGAGAACAGAGCAGGCUACUUCUUCACACGCUUCUGUGAGAAGUCAGGGAAUGAGCUGUGGAAGAACAGUGCGUACUUUUGGUUUGACCUACAGGCUUAUCAUCAACUUUUCUACCAAGAAACCCUUCAGCCUUUUAAACUAUGCAAGCAAGCUCAAUUCCUUUAUGCCACUUACAUUGCUCCUUCUGCCAGCAUGGAUAUUGGACUGCAACAGGAUAAGAAAAAUGAGAUUUAUCAGAAAAUUGAGCCACCUUAUGAGGAUCUUUUUGACCCAGCAGAAGAAUAUAUCCUCACCCUUCUGCUGGUACCAUGGAUGAAAAUGGUGGAAGUAGACAAAUGCAUUUAUGGAAAGGUGGAGCUGGUGGAAGAAAGUCGACAGCUGGACUCAGUGUACUUUAGAAAGCUACAGUCUUUGCAUCAAGAGAGUGUUUCCAAGAAGGAUGAGAGUUUUGCUCCUGAAGUCAGUCCCCUACCUCAGCCUGAUGUUGUCCGAGAAGCACAGCUCUUAAAUGAAGUCCCUGAGGAAUACAGGGGUUGUAGCCUUCACGACCUGAUCCGCAAUGGACUCGAGUUAGAACAGUUCCGACUCUUUCUUGAAGAGCAUUCUGCAGUCAUGGAUCUCAUGUGCUGGAUAGAUAUUGAACAAUUCAGAAGGAUGCUCCACAAGGAAAAAGAAAAAAGAGAGGAAAAAUCUAAAGAUAUUAAAAACAAGUACCUAAAUAAAAAAUACUUUUUUGGACCCAAUAGUCCAGCUACAAAAGCACAACAAGACCAGGUAAUGCAGUCAGGUGGAGGCUGGGGACGCAUACUUCAUGAUCGACUUUCCUCCGCAGUUCUGCUAGAAAUUCAAAAAUACGUCCAGAUGAGGCUAGAAAAAAAGUGGCUGCCAUUGUUCCUGGCAAAAGAACAAUCUCGGACACGUAGAAAAACAAAGCCACAGAUAAGGGACAUAGCUGAAGAUCUCCUAAUCCAGAGAAAUGAGAAGAAGAUUGGGUCCUGGAAGGCAAGUAAACAUGUGGACAAUAAGUGGGUUUCUUCAUCUAGAGAAAUAAUCAUGUUCCGUAAAGCGCUGCUGAAUCCAGUAACAGCAUUACAGUUUCAGCGCUUUGUGUCUUUGAAAGGAGAUUUAAUGGAGAAUGGAGUGCUCUUCUGGCAAGAGGUUCAGAAAUAUAAGGAUUUGUGCCAUUCUCACUGUGAUGAUGCCACUAUCCAGAAUAAGAUCACAGCUAUCAUCAACUGCUUUAUUAAUUCCACCAUCCCACCAACUCUGCAAAUUGACAUCCCACCAGAGCAAGCUCAGAAGAUUAUAGCGCACAGGAGAGAACUAGGGCCAUAUGUAUUUAGAGAGGCACAGAUGACUAUUUUUGCUCUUCUGUUUAAAUUUUGGCCAAAAUUUUGUGAAUUUCGAAGCAAUUUGGCAGAUGAGAAAAUUUUGCCUACUUUGGAGGAAAAAAAGGAAAAGAAGAGACAAAAAAUGAAAAGAAAAACAACAGAGGAAAGACUCACACUCAUAAAGCAAGUGAAAAAAGUUGUCAGCUUAUCAGACAGUAUUUCUGCAGAUCAGACCAGUGUAGGUAGAAGAACACCUUCAUCUGUAACUGGAUAUGGACAACAGGUUUCCUGGUCUUAUUCCAAGUACAUAGAAGCCCUCGAGCAGGAGAGAGUACUCCUUAAAAUACAAGAAGAUCUGGAGAAAAGGACAUCAUUAUUUUCUACAGGUAUCUCAUCCAUGACCUAUUUGAAGCCUGACUUCACUGCAAAUCCAGAGAAAUCCAUCACUUCAUCAAACACAAGUCUGAUUUGGGAGAAACAGUCCAAUCUUCCCAAAGACAUGGGAAGUGAAGUACAGGAGUCGAUGGGAGAGCGAUCUGCGAUCGAUUUAGCAGGUCUUCACUAGACCCGCUAAAUCGACCACCUGUGCAUCGAUCGCCACACGUCAAUCCCCUGGAGGAUUUAAAACCUAAGUGAAGAACAGAAUGCAGAGAUAAUGAAUUAUGGCGGCCUUGGGACAAGCUAGCAGUCAAAAUAAAUAAUGUAUGGUUUGUUUUGCACUCAUCUUUUCAGAGCACAAAUAAUCAGUUGGGUUAAUUUAAGAGCCAACAGACGUUAGAAUCAAGAUAACAACGGAAAGUCCGCCAACAUACUCAGUGGCAAUAUAUUGUUCUUAUUUAUGCUGGGUGGUGCCUAGAGGCUGCAGUCAGGAUUAGGUCCAAUCACACAUAUAAACACACAGGUAGAUGUAGUUCCUGCCCCAAAGAUCUUACAGCUUCUUCAGUGCCUGAGCUAGUGAAUAAGUGCUACACCAUCUUAAAUACAGCACAAUGCAUUUGCUAAAGGAUCCCCCUGCCUUUGAUUCUAUAAUUAUCAAGCAGGGUGGCUUUGUGCACUAUGACCCCAGUUCUGCCUUUACAUACUUGCAUGCAACUUCCAUUACUGACAAUGAUUCAUGAGAUUGCAGAGCUGUCAAAAUCAAACCCUAGCCCUGUUGUUCAGUCAAUAUGAUUCCAAGCCACAAGGUUAGUGGCUUCUGUAGUACAUGGGCAUAACCCAGGUAUGGGAAAGGAAAUUCAUUGAGUUUCAAUUUGUGGUGGUUCCUAGGAAUUAUACCAAUUAUAGGAUGGGGUUUUUCUCUCUCCACGCCCAGUGGAAGAAGGCAAGGAUACAUGUGAAUCUGCGGGACCUGCCAGAGACCAGGCUAUCCACUGUAACUCCAGUGUAGCCAGCCUACCAAGAACAUCCUUGCCCUCUGCUGUUCCGAGAGCCCCUCCCUAUAAAGGAUUCAUUCCACAGCACAGAGUGGUAGGUUGUGGGAAAUUAAUUCAGCAUGUGGGCUGCGGGGGGAAUUUAGAAGAGUCCAGCCAGCCCCUUUUUCUUAAGCUCAGGGAGCUGGAACUAUAUGGAGCUCCUAUGGAAGGGUUUCUGCAGGGUUGAGGGCAAAGAUGGAACAACCUCACUUUCGUGGGUUCAGGCCCGCCCGUCACAUAUACACAGAACUUCCUAAAGUUCAGAUAGACUUUUGGUUCUAUUAUUUCUGCAUUUGUAUGCCUGAACAGCACACAUUGCAACAGUUUGCAGCUAGCAGAGCACAUGCAGUGGCAUGUGGCCGACCUCUCAUUAAAGUGAAAGGGAAAGGAGAGUUGUGCCAUGCCACCAAGGCAGUGGCAUGUCUUAGUCUAAAAGUCAGUGAGUGACUCUGCCUGUAUUCUGGGAAGUGUGUGGCAUGCUAUGAAAUGCUGCAGACUGAUGGUCUGUUUCUCAUUUGUUGUAUUCUCGCCUACAUGGUAUUUUGAAACAGUUAAAUAGCAUGAAGACAAUGUUUAUCUUUCAUUAGUAGCUUUUUACUUGAGUCAUACUUGGAUUACUUAUUAAAUGAAGCCUAUUAUCCAGAUAUAUGUCACAGAUGAUAACACUCCACAUGAAUGUAUUUCAGCCUUGCAAUAUUGUCACGAACAUUUACCAGCCCACACACAAAAACUACUCUCCCAUCCAUUACCUUGACAAUGAUGGUGAAAAAAUUACCUUACUUGCCUAUUUAAAAAAAAUACUUCUCUCAGUCAGGGAUUAGAAUUUUGCAAGGCUGGUACAAUCCAUUCAUUGCUUUAUGAACCCAAAGGUCCCCCAGAGAGCAUCCACACAGCAAUCACUCUAUAUCUAACCUAUCAGUCAUCAUCCUCAAAAGAAACUUGCAUGACACUUUCAAAUGAAGAGCCUGGGAGUUUAAAUUCAUAAUUCUGCUAGACACUAAAAUCAUGGCUGGAACAGAGAUACUGGAUUUAUGGCUUAUUACAACAAUCUGUAACCACUAACCCCCUCUUUUUGUCCUAUGACUCAGAGGAGUUAAUGGGUCACUCUGCCUUGAAUGGUCGCUUACAAUAUGUACUAAUUAUUUAUGCUAACUAAUCUGUUCCACCUUGCAUUUCGCUGGGACACUUGGAGUACCUUUCCCAGACCUGAAGAAGAGCUUUUUGUGGCUCAAAAGUGUGUCUCUCUCACCAGCAGAAGGUGGUCCUAUAAAAGAUAUUACCUCACCCACCUUGUCUCUCUGAUGUUAUUUAGUCCAUUUCACGUUUGAAUUUCUAUGUUAUAUAAAAAAAUCACAUGUAGCCAGUUUCCUGUUGAGUAUGCAUCUGAUGAGGCUCGUGUGUUAUUAAAACCACCAAAUAUAAGGAAUAUAUCAUCAUUUUUAUACAUCCGUUUUAGAGAGAAGGUGGCUGGGUUGGGUGUAAAUUUGGGGGAAUGGGUGUCUGAGUGGACAGAGCUAAGUGAUAGAGCUCCUUUCAGCUCCAGGUUACUGGCUCUAAUCUUAUCCAGUAGUGACGGAAAUUUACCACUUAAUGGCUGUUUGGUGAUGUAUCUGAAAACCACUGGUAGCGUUAGUCGAUCACCUAGUGUCAGGUAAUAGCAAUUACUAGUCUCAGCAGAGAGGCAGAGGAUUAAAUAGGUAUGGAGAUUGAAUUAUUUUCUGACUCAAGAGAUGGGAUUACUCUAGAUCACUACAAAUGGGAAUCUCAGCACUGCCUUUGGCUUUCCCUGCUCUAUGGAUAUACCAGCAUUAGGGCUGUUGAUCCAGCACUUUUCUUCAGCACUAAAUGCAGUAAAUAUUUUUUUUAAGAAGUAAAAAAGGUACAUUGUAUAUGUCUAAGAUCUCUCCCUUUUGUCAAACCAUACUUCAUUUCCAUUAGCUUCAACCAUGGGUACCUUGGUUUUUAUCAAAUGUGCCUUUUAGAAAACUGUAAGGUUCUAGCAGAACAACAGUUUUGUAUGGAGUUUGUUCUCUACAGUUUGAGGGAAAAACUCCUGUUAUUUGGUAAUAUGCAAUAUCAGAAACCAUUCCAAUCUGAUUGGUGAUUUAUCUGCUCUAGUGGUGGUGAAAACACAGAGUCUAAUUACACUUAUUUGACCAUAUACUUUUCUUGUUUAGUGCCAUGGGAUACAAUAUAUUUAGGCUUAGCAGAAUUUGUUUUUUAUUUUUUUAUAAUUUUGAAGGAUAAUAUUAAUAAGCCUUUUUUCCAGUGUUUAUCAACUGAAAUUUUCACAAUUUUGGGGUAGGUGGGUCAGGCAAUUAUUAUUUAAUGGCAGUAGACACAGAUUCAAAAACUUCAAGCUUCAUAGCUGUUAAAACACAAACUGUAAACAUCACAUGUCAAAAUAUUCAAAGUAAAUAUCCUUAAAUCAAACUCUAAUAAGUUCUUAAGCAGCACUUUUCUCUGUCUCUCUGUAAAUUUCAAUUAUUAUUGACGGAAAUAUGUUUUCAUACAUUUGUGCAUGUAAUCGAUGUUCACUGACAUUUACCAAUAAAAAAUUAAUCCUUCCAAGCCUAAAUAUAUUGAAACCGUUUGGAAUUUUUUAAUUGAUGUUUUGAAUAUAUAGAUAUUUAUACUAAGUACCUUUACCAUAUUACUUCACAUUUCUCCCAUCAAAUCUGGCAUUUUUUAUGAAAAACAUUUGUAUUCUUUGCCUAGAGUGAACAGUUUAUUUUUAAAAGCCCAGCCAUGAAGUAAUUCAUUCAAAACUCCCCUUGAUUUCAAAAGAAGUUUUGACUGAAUAAGGACUUCAGAACAGUGGCACCGGAAUGGAGUGGGGGCAAGGCCCUCCCACUUUUGAAAGUGGAUGGGUCUGUCCUGUCC